rnacentral:lncRNA from 1 species
CAGAAAGCCAAGAUCUGGUGCCUUACCAGGUCUUUGUUUUCCGGCACUUUGACUAAAUCAGCCACUAAGUACCGUCUCACAAUGGUCUGUGACCCUCUGUAGUCAAGUGUCCAAACGUGUUGAUGUUUUCAACAGACUUACCCAAAUCGAAGUCUAAAUAAGGCCUUUACUGACCUCAAACUAAGUUUUGAGAAUUUCCAGAGGGUCCCUGAACAUCUCCAAAGGUUUAUUCUCACUUAAACAAAGAAUGAUGUUCUGCUAAUUAGGUUUAUUCGAUCGUGUUAAAUUCUAUGGAAAGCAUGUGAAAUACAUGAUGAUAACCCACUGUGUCGGUAAAUAUUAAUGUUCUGCAAGUUCUGAGAUCCCCACACACCUAGAAUAUCCUGGAUAGCAUCACCAGUCAUAACCGCAGUUCUCUCCGAAUGUUACGUUCAGAAAUAAUCAAGUCGCUCUGUCGGUUCCGCGUCACGGACUCCCGUCGGAUCCCUGACAUCGGGAGUCUUGUCGUUGCACUUUGGUGCCCUGCCAGUGUCCUGCGAAGGCACCUCCCUCCAAGGAGUCACGGAAAGGACUGACAGGUAGGACCUGACAUCGUGAAAGUGAGCGGGAUGAGAAAUUCUAGAACUAAUAACGAGGAAUGGAUUCAAGCAGAACGAGUAUUAGAUGGAACCGAAUGGAUUCAGAACUCUAAUUUUACGACUUCUGCUUUGAAACACUGGUUUUUACCUUUUUCCAAACUUAAGAAAGCCUUCUCUUUUCUCAUGGGAUCAGCAAUUUAAGAUAUUGCUUUGUGAACAAAGAUGAACAUUUUUCUCCCUCUUUGGCCCCUCCAGAAUUUGCAAACUUCGUAUUCUUGUGCAAGUGUACUGCCACUCAAAUGAGUGAUUUAGGAAUCAUGAUUGGGAAUGUUGGUUAUAUUACCAGGCUCUGACCACAAGGUCUUAUUUGAGGGAGAUGUAAAGACUCCGGGAUGAUCGGCUUUCAGGAACUAAGGCUGACCUUAAUGGAGCCUAUGAGGGCCUUACUUACAGGGUUCCUGGCGGCCUGACCCGGUGAGGAGGGAAGGUUGCUUCUUGGCAGGCCCAAGAAUCUCAGGAAAUGUUUGGAACCUUGAGAAGAGAGGAGUUCACCCAAAUCUGUAUGUAUUGCAGGCAAAGUCUGAUGAUGGCUCCUUAGCGCGGCUUCUCAGCCUGGAGAGUCUUUCAAAGUUCACGGGAGAUUCCUUAUGGAAAGUCUGAGCCAAGUGGACUUAAAAGUCUGUAUGGUGAGCACUCUUCUUCUGCACUUAUGUAAAUAACAAGGCCAAGGUACUGAAACUGUGAAAACAGAGUUAAUCUUGCUGUGAAUGUGGGGGUGACUGUAGAGAGAAAUUACGUUUCAGUAACAUGCCUUCGUGGACAGCAGAUUCUAGUGCCGUGAACGGCCCGUGAGGUUUUGCUUUUACCUGUAAACUGGACUAGAUCCCGAGUUCUUCUAUUUUCUUCCUAUAUUUGGCUGCAGCUCUCCAAACUGGCAUUUCCAGUUCACCCCCUCCCCGCCACCAGUCCUUCUGACUCGGAAUCGUUGAGAACCACGACUGCCCUUUCCCUGAAGCCGUGCGGGUUACAGCCGGACACCGUCACGUGAAGUUCAGAGAAACCACAACAGCUCACGUGUGGGUAACUGCCGUGCCUGCUGCUGUGCGGGCCACUCGGAGAGCUCGCCACACGGCCUCCCUGCAGGCCAGGCCCGUCUGUCUCGUUUCCACCGUCUGCUCCACCCCACCUGAAGAUGCCGCAAGCCGGGCCUCCGGACGUCUGCGCGCCUGGCUGCCUCCGGAACUCACCGAGACCGGAUCUGCUCCCCAGAUUAACCUUCGUUUUUUGUCUCCCCAGAAAUGCCUCUUAUUAAGUAUCUGAUGACUUGCCCCCAGACCUAACUCGGGAGCCUCCUGAAACGGAGCCGGCUGCUUAACUGAACGGCCCUGUCGGCAGGA